UGAAAAAAGGGUAUAUUGUUGUGCCUUAGGCUCUCAUUUAUUUUAUUUAUUUACGUAUUGCUAUCAUUUCUUUAUUUAUUACUUGUUGAAUUGUGGAAAAAGAUAUGUUGGAAAACUUUGACACUUUAGAGCGUAUGUGUGAGAGUCCAAAGCGAACGCACCCUAUCGCGACUUCGAACUAAAAGCAAUGCUUCUAGGUUAGAAACACGUCAUGGUACGAAUUGGUUGGUGUAGUUUAUCGUUGUGAAGAAAAACAGAUUUGCGAUUACAUAAAACAUAUCCGGUAGUUUCUGGAAAAUGGAAAAGAGUGUCAACAAAAUAUCAGACGUAUCAUGGAGAUUCGGAGUAACUGCGGCGAGUAAUGAUUCCGACAACGUCGCCAAAUCGUUCUUGCAGCUCAAGUUACGUAUCGACAAUGACGGUAAAGUAAAGAACGUCUUCACUGAGAUGACAAUAGGACAGUUUUACAAAUUUCUACACGAUUUAGAAGAAGCAAAGUGUAAUCUAGAUUUGUUGGCGUAAGAAACAAUACGCAUGCACAUAUAGUAAAAUAUUGUGUUUAAUUAUUGUUGGAAGUAUUUUUCAAAUUACACAAAAUUGUCAUAUUUUUUGUAUAUAUUUCACAAUUUGCAUUUUAUUUAAAAAUAAAAUUAUUUAUUAUCUCUAAGACUUAAGAAAAUAACACAACUUGAUCUAUCCUUCUAUUGUAAUAAAAGAUAUUAAUACUUUAAUUUUCUUAAAUAACACAUUUGUAAAAAUUGAUAACUUAUCAGAUCUUGUUAAUAAUAGAGAACUUGAAAUAUACGCCUCUCAAUAUAACUUACUGGAUAAGUAAAUUAUAGUACAAUUAGCAUUAGGAUUUCUACAAAAAAAACCUUUACCUACAUCUAUAUUCU